GGGGAUGACACGGUUUCGACGGGUGAGCAGGUCAGCAGGCUGCGUGCCGGGGGGUUCCCAAUACCCCCGUGACCCUCAUUGGGAAAUCAGGAUAGUUGCCAACGACUACUCCUACGCGCUCGCGGCGUAACUACACCCGCUAGCUAUCUCUGUCCGGGCUCGCCUAUUGGCCCGGGCCGAGGUACCAUACUCAGAUAGGCUGCGCGCUGAGGUUCCGGCUGGACCGAUGCGCUAAGACCCAUCAGCCUGCACCUCUCGGGUCGCUCGUCAGCGGCUCACUCCCGAGGGGCUAAGCUUCUGAACAGUUGACUACGCAUCGUAGACGCCUGGACUGACAGUUCAUUCGGACCCGGGUUCGACUCCCGGCAUCUCCACUC
rnacentral:tmRNA from 2 species